rnacentral:rRNA from 1 species
AAUUUCCUACGGGGGGCAGCAGUGGGGGAUAUUGCACAAUGGGGGGAACCCUGAUGCAGCGACGCCGCGUGGGUGAAGGAGCGUUUCGGCGCGUAAAGCCCUAUCGGCAGGGAAGAAGAUGACGGUACCUGACCAAGAAGCCCCGGCUAACUACGUGCCAGCAGCCGCGGUAAUACGUAGGGGGCAAGCGUUAUCCGGAUUUACUGGGGGUAAAGGGGGCGCAGACGGCAAUGCAAGCCAGGAGUGAAAGCCCGGGGCCCAACCCCGGGACUGCGCUGGUAACUGCAUGGCUGGAGUA